GGUGUGGCCGCAGCCCUGGGGCGCGAGAAGCCCAUCCGGGCCCGAGGUGCUGGGCGGCCUGGAGCGCUGGCUGCCCCCAGGGCCGGCGGCUGUCCCUGGGGUUUCCCCGCUUCUGGGCUUUCCCCGCUUCUGGGCUCGGUGGCCGCGCGGGCGGGCGCCAAGUGACUCAGCCGUCCCCGAGGGCGUUCCGGGAAGCGGCCGGGGGCGCGGGCUUUCCUGUCGCCGCAGCGUGUGAGUCCCCAGCGCCGAAAGGGGAUCAGAAACCGCUGGGCGGAGCAGCGGGAGGAAGCUGCGGCGCGCAGAGCAGAGUCAGCGCCACCGUCUUUCGAGCUGGAGCGGAGGGAACGUGGCCUUGACGUUGCUGAAGCUGAAGCGCCGGGCGGGCGCCCGGACCCCGGGGCGGGGCAGAAACGAGUCCGUUCCCUACUGCGGGGCGGGGGCAGGGCUGGAACGGGAGUUCAGGAGGGACAAGGACGUGGAAGGAGCCCAGCAGAGGGCACCCGGGACCCCCGCGGCCGGGCCGAGUUUGAAGGGAGCCCCUCUCCCCCUCCCCCUGGCGGAGCCCCCUGUAGGGUCUGACCUGGUGCCCCGCAACAGGAGCGGGAGGAGGAGCAGGCCCAGAGCGGCCGGGCCCCAGCCUAGAGGGGCGCUCGAGGGGAAGCGAGUGAAGUGAGGGCUCCGCCAGAGCAGCACCCCCUUCCCCGCCGUCCCUCCCGGACUGGCCGGUUCUCGUCAGAGAUUCCUUUGUCUUCGACGCUGGUCCCUCCACACCAAGGUGGGAGGCUGAGGUGGGAGGUGGCAGAGCGGUGGGAGUGGGAGCAAGGCCGGAGCGUGGGUGGAGGCGCUGGCCGCGGGCUUGCAAGGAUGGCACAAGGGAGACAUCCAGGACAAACCAUGGGGAACACAGCUGCCACUGAGAGAAGCUGCCCGGAGGAGGAAGGGGCUGCAAAGUUCAACCACCAGGCAAGAUGAAGAAAUUGAGAAACAGAAAGUAUGAUGAUUUGCUUAAGACCAGAUGACAAUUAUCUGCAGAAUGAAGACAAUCCUGACCUCCAUCAGUGGAUCCCUUCGCCACCUCCACAGUCUCCCCAUUGCAUGGACACAGACACAUGACAGAUGCACACAUAUGUGCAAAACACUUAUACAGAACACACUCCUCCACCUCCACCUCACUACCACGCAAUCCCAAGACAGCAUUGCCCUUCUCUGGACCCAGCCACUCGGUCAACACAUAUUUACGAACAUUAUGCUAGGCACUGGCAAUAAAAUAAUGAACACCAGAAGACACAGUUCCUGAGUCUCACAGAGAUGACCCAGGAUCAUUCAGAGUCUAGGAUGAGGCAGGGAUUAGGUGGGGAUGAGGAUGAUAAGAGCAGCGUUGGGGAAGUACAGGAUAAGAUGAGAACACACACCAAGGGCACCUAACUUUUUCUCUGGAGGACCAGGAAAGGCACCCUGGAGGAUGAGACAUCCGAGCUGAGGUGCAAAAGAUGGGUUGGAGUUGGCAAGGCCCAAAGUGAGGCUAAAAAGAGAGUUGAGGGGAGUGUUCCACACAGAGGAAGGAACGUGUACGAAAACUUGGAGGCAAGAGCGGCAUGGCACUUUUGAGGAACUGCGAGAAGUAGAGUGUGGCCAGGGAUAAUGCUCUGGUCGGGAGAUGUGUCCAUUGAGGCUGCAGAGGAAGCAGGUAUCUGCAUGUGAAGGCGGCAAACCUUGUUGGUGUUGAUGGAGUUGGUGUUUGUCUUGCAGGCACUGGAAAGCCAUUGACGGAUUUAGUGAGUGCCACUGGUGACAAGCUCUUAUUAAGACAUUCUCCUUUUGCCCACUAUAAGAAUCUAUGGAUAUAAAUGUUUUCUGAUCCUACCUUAAGAUAUACUCUGGCUACAGCAUCUGCAAAAAUAUAGAUACUCAACUUCAGGAUAUGUUUUCAGUUUAGGCUGCCACCUCCAUUUCACCUGCUUUUGCCACUCUUCUUGGGUCUUUGUGAUCUGUGCCAGGUUGGCCUGGAUAACCACUGUGACCAAGAUGCAUGGAUAUACCAGUUUGUGGGCCAGACAGCUUCUAAGUCUUCCCUGCUCUCAGCCUCAGCUUUACUCCAGGGCCUAAACUCCAGCUGUCCAGCUGACAGAGUAUCAAUUGACCAGACAAAAUCCCUCACGAAUACUGGAAAACAAGUUUAAACUAUAAUUAGAAGUAUGUGGGCUAGCAAAUUCUACCCUCGUUCGUUCAGCAAAGGGAAGCCAUUAUUGAUAUUUAACAAGUUAUAGAUAAUAGAAAUUAUCAAUGAAAAUGAUACGUGGCUCAUAUAUUCAAUAGAUAAGUGAUCAAUAUUUAGAUAAUAAGUGAAAUCUUACAGGAACUUGUAAAAAGAGAAAGCUUCAUACACAAAGAAAUGGUGAAAUAAAUUAUGGUUUAAAAAAUAAAACAUAUGUAUAUUUGCUUGUAUAUACACAAAAUAUCUUUGGAAGGAUUUCCAAGAAAAUAACACUAGUUGAUUCUGGGAAGAGGAACAGAGAAGCUGGGGACAGGGAUGGGAAGGAAAUUUUUUUACUAUACUCUUUAGAGUCUUUUACAUUUUAAACAACAAUAAUGUGAUAUCUGAUUUGAAAAAUAAUUAACACUUUAAAAACCAUCCAUUCAGUAGAAUCUCAUCCAGUGAUUAAAAAGAAAGAAAUCAAAUUAUAGUUACAAAAUGGGUAGUUGGCCAAGGUCUACUCUCACUUGAAAAUAGCAUAUUUCAGAACAUGUGUAUGAUAUAACUUUAUUUUUGAGGGAAAAGAACAAAGAAUAUCAAUCUCCAUGCGAAUUUUUAGUAAACACACAGAGAAAGGUCUCUGUGCUAUCCAGUGUAACUGCCACUAGCCACAUUUAAAUUAAUUAAAAUUAAAAUUUUAGUUCCUGGGUAGCAC
rnacentral:lncRNA from 10 species